CCAGUACCGUGAGGGAAAGGCGAAAAGAACCCCGGCGAGGGGAGUGAAAAAGAACCUGAAACCGUGUACGUACAAGCAGUGGGAGCACCCUUUGGGGUGUGACUGCGUACCUUUUGUAUAAUGGGUCAGCGACUUAUAUUCUGUAGCAAGGUUAACCGAAUAGGGGAGCCGGAGGGAAACCGAGUCUUAAUUGGGCGUUAAGUUGCAGGGUAUAGACCCGAAACCCGGUGAUCUAGCCAUGGGCAGGUUGAAGGUUGGGUAACACUAACUGGAGGACCGAACCGACUAAUGUUGAAAAAUUAGCGGAUGACCUGUGGCUGGGGGUGAAAGGCCAAUCAAACCGGGAGAUAGCUGGUUCUCCCCGAAAGCUAUUUAGGUAGCGCCUCGUGAAUUCAUCUCCGGGGGUAGAGCACUGUUUCGGCUAGGGGGCCAUCCCGGCUUACCAACCCGAUGCAAACUGCGAAUACCGGAGAAUGUUAUCACGGGAGACACACGGCGGGUGCUAACGUCCGUCGUGAAGAGGGAAACAACCCAGACCGCCAGCUAAGGUCCCAAAGUCAUGGUUAAGUGGGAAACGAUGUGGGAAGGCCCAGACAGCCAGGAUGUUGGCUUAGAAGCAGCCAUCAUUUAAAGAAAGCGUAAUAGCUCACUGGUCGAGUCGGCCUGCGCGGAAGAUGUAACGGGGCUAAACCAU
rnacentral:rRNA from 1 species